AGCAGCCGCGGUAAUUCCAGCUCCAAUAGCGUAUAUUAAAGUUGUUGCAGUUAAAAAGCUCGUAGUUGAAUUUCGGGAUCAAUUAAUCGGUCGUGCCUCUGGUACGCACUGGUUUUAUUGGUUUCUCCCUUCUGACGAACCAGGAUGUCAUUAAUUUGGUGUCUUGGAGAAUCAGGACUGUUACUUUGAAAAAAUUAGAGUGUUUAAAGCAGGCUAACGCUUGAAUACAUUAGCAUGGAAUAAUGAAAUAGGACGUUUGAUCCUAUUUUGUUGGUUUCUAGGAUCGACGUAAUGAUUAAUAGGGAUAGUUGGGGGCAGUUAGUAUUCAAUUGUCAGAGGUGAAAUUCUUGGAUUUAUUGAAGACUAACUACUGCGAAAGCAAUUUGCCAAGGAUGUUUUCAUUAAUCAAGAACGAAAGUUAGGGGAUCGAAGACGAUCAGAUACCGUCGUAGUCUUAACCAUAAAACUAUGCCGACUAGGGAUCGGAUGAUGUUAAUUUUUAAUGACUCAUUCGGCGCCU
rnacentral:misc_RNA from 1 species